GAUGAAGAACGUAGCGAAAUGCGAUAAGUAAUGUGAAUUGCAGAAUUCAGUGAAUCAUCGAAUCUUUGAACGUACAUUGCGCCCGCCAGCACUCUGGCGGGCAUGCCUGUUCGAGCGUCAUUUCAACCAUCAAGCCCCCAGGGGCUUGUGCUGGGGCCCUGCGGCUGCCCGCAGGCCCUGAAAACCAGUGGCGGGCUCGCUAGUCACACCGAGCGCAGUAGCACAUCUCGCUCAGGGCGUGCGGCGGGCUCCUGCCGUGAAACCCCCCACUGUAACCCCAAAGGUUGACCUCGGAUCAGGUAGGAAUACCCGCUGAACUUAAGCAUAUCAAUAAGCGGAGGA
rnacentral:misc_RNA from 1 species